AGUGAACGCUGGCUGUAGGCCUAACACAUGCAAGUCGAACGGCAGCACAGUAAGAGCUUGCUCUUACGGGUGGCGAGUGGCGGACGGGUGAGGAAUACAUCGGAAUCUACUUUUUCGUGGGGGAUAACGUAGGUAAACUUACGCUAAUACCGCAUACGACCUACGGGUGAAAGCAGGGGAUCUUCGGACCUUGCGCGAUUGAAUGAGCCGAUGUCGGAUUAGCUAGUUGGCGGGGUAAGGGCCCACCAAGGCGACGAUCCGUAGCUGGUCUGAGAGGAUGAUCAGCCACACUGGAACUGAGACACGGUCCAGACUCCUACGGGAGGCAGCAGUGGGGAAUAUUGGACAAAGGGCGCAAGCCUGAUCCAGCCAUACCGCGUGGGUGAAGAAGGCCUUCGGGUUGUAAAGCCCUUUUGUUGGGAAAGAAAAGCAGCAGGUUAAUACCCCGCUGUUCUGACGGUACCAAAAGAAUAAGCACCGGCUAACUUCGUG
rnacentral:rRNA from 1 species